GGAGGUCCCAGGGCAGGAAUUAGAAGAGCAUGUCACUAUAUUUCCAGUUGGGGAGGGGUGCUGAGUCUGAGUGAGGAGGUGGUUUCAGUGCCAGGAGGAAUAGAAACUGGCCUGCGGACUGAAUGGGCCUUGAACCCCUGUGACCACUCCCUUCAAGAAUGUGCCCCAACCUUACGGACAAGUGACUCAAAGGAGCCUGAGGGGGAUGGGAGCAAGGAUUUGGCGCCCUUCCUGUAAAACCUGGCUGACACACAAACCUAGCUGGGGUGAGGCUCCAGGUGUGAUGAAAGUUUGGAGUUGCCCCAUGAAUGGGACUGAGGCUGAUGUGGGGGUGAGAAGGCGGAAGGACAGAGCAUGUGAAGGGAGAAAGGCAGGCUGGGGCAAGAGAGCAGGGUGUGACUCUGGCGAGGGUGGGGGAAAGGGGGUGAUUUGACCAUGUGUCAGGAAGUGUUUCUCUCCACCCUCCCCUGGGGAGAGCCUUGACCCCAAGGUGGCUUUGUUUUGGGGAAGCAGGUGGCCAGGCAGCUGCUGAGGGAGGGCAAAGUCAUGGCUUGGGCGGUGACCAUGCACUGAGGUCCUAGGCCCGAUACUCAUCACCCAAAAGGAUAAUCUAACAGUGGCUCUUAGCCAAAUAGGUGACAGGUGAGCUUCUGUCUGAAACCAGCCCAACUAUAUCAUAAAGCCUCAGAUAUGGCCUAGGGGAAGGCAAGCGAUCUAGAGAAGUGAGAGAAAAGAGGCCUCUAAGGAAAUAGAGUGGUCAAGUGCUUAGUGAUUAUUAUUAACAGCAACAAUAAUAAUGGGUCACAUUUAUUGAGAGCUUAUAGUGUGCCUGGCACUAUACUAACUACUUUUAUGUGUUCCCGCAUUCAUUUCUCAAAAAGCUCCCUACAAAGUAGUCAUUAUUAUUAUUGUUAUUAUUUUUUCCAUUUGAGAGACGUCAAAACUGAGGCUCAGUGAAAUUAAGUUUCUUGUCCAAGGUCACACAGUAAGUAGCAAAGGCAGGAUUCAAACUCAGGUCUGUAGUGAUUCCAGUGCACUAUGGAAACCUAGGCCUAGGUUACUGGAGCAAGUUAAGAGGGCAGGGCCAGACUGACCCCUGCAAAGGUGGGGAUAGGGAGGGACAGUGGGAUAGACUGUGUAUAAAUAGCAGGCCUGUUUUUAUCCCUACACACAGGCAGAAUCCGGCAAGUGCUCUAUCUGGCACAAUUUCAGGGCUCUGAAAGCCAACCCAGCCCUGUGUCAAACAACUCUCUCCCCAGCACGUCCCUGGAAACUGAAAUACCUACUGAGACACUCAUUUCUUUGGGUCAGGACAGUGACUCCAGAAGACCCCUGCAAAAGCACAUGGGUUGGAAGAGAAACACCUAGUGUCUGUGAAACAGCAAUCUAGGUUAGCCAGCUGGGUCCUAUGGGAGGGUGGCUCAUUUUUUAUGUUGAGGAAAAAGGUGGCAGUCAAAG
rnacentral:lncRNA from 1 species